AGCCUUCUGAAUCCGUGCCGAUAUUCUUUCAGACACAAGACAAUCAGGACUGAUGAGAAUCCCGAGAUAAGUGAAGCA
rfam:Schistosoma curassoni strain Dakar, Senegal genome assembly, scaffold: SCTD_contig0001125